rnacentral:rRNA from 1 species
UACGUAGGGGGCAAGCGUUGUCCGGAUUUAUUGGGCGUAAAGAGCGUGUAGGCGGCUAGGUAGGUCCGUUGUGAAAACUCGAGGCUCAACCUCGAGACGCCGAUGGAAACCAUCUGGCUAGAGUCCGGAAGAGGAGAGUGGAAUUCCUGGUGUAGCGGUGAAAUGCGCAGAUAUCAGGAGGAACACCCGUGGCUAAGGCGGCUCUCUAGUACGGUACUGACGCUGAGACGCGAAAGCGUGGGGAGCGAACAGG